UGACGUCUCAGCCAUGAUUAUACACACAGUUACCACAUCCUUUCUGAACAUCUUUAUUCAAAAAGCUGACAUAAAAUGGUUUGCUAAGCUAUUAAUUGAAGCCUACUAACCGACACUUUCAGAAGACUUCGUUCCAGUUUUUUCAGUUUCCCUGUAGGUAAUCCAGACAGGCUGGGUGCUGGAGAGGGCUCUGGACUCCUAACUUCAAUUCUCGUCUGUGCAGUCGACACUCAGAAGCAUCACUUCAGCACUGAUUCCAUGAUCUGGAACAUUUUGAAAUCCUACCAGAUGGGGCAGAAGUCAUUGAGCAGUGGCAGCUUC